AACGGCUAUACCAUGCUGAAUAUACCGGUUCUCGUUAGAUCACCGAAGUCAAGCAUCAUUGGGCGCGGUCAGUACUUGGGUGGGUGACCGCCUGGGAACACCGCGUGCCGUU
rnacentral:rRNA from 1 species